rnacentral:lncRNA from 1 species
AAGAGGAUGGAGUUGACGAUCACAUUCUGAAGCCGCUGUCUCUUUUUACAUUGAGCUUGCUCCAGGAUAGUUGUUCUGGUGUUGGCAAAAGGAUGCACUGCCAAUAUAAGGAUGAGGGUUUUGCUUUGUAAGAAUCCUAAACCCUAAAACCUGGAUCUUCAAGGGCUACAUAGAAUCCAACUUGGCUGAUACUUGUUUUCCAUAGAUGCAGCGACGUUCAUUCAUAGUUUGAUCGUUCUGAUGUUGGAUUUGCUGUGUAGGAAGUGCAGAUAAAAUGUGAUGGAAUUUUUUUAAAUAGAAUCGGUGAAUACCGAUCUUUACCUUUCAAGGUUUUGAGGCUGCGCUUGAGACACGCAUCGGCAUUGUUUUGUUGAAUCAUACAACACUCUUCAGGAUCUGCUGUUCAUGUGGUUAUUCUUGGUGUAUCAAGAUCUAUGCGGAAAAAAAUUGUACACUUGAAUAUUGAUUACAAGAAAUUCAUAAAGUGGUUCAAAAAAUAAAUUCAAAAAGUUUAUUCAUGGUUGUGUUAUAAGAUUAAAUUUUUGAUUAAUUGAGUUUUUUUCACUUUCGCCGUUGUAUGAACGGUUUUCACCUUAA